ACCCACACCAAACAGAAGAAGAAAGAAGAAGAAGCAGAUAAGAUGAAGUAGUAGAUAUAAUAAGCUCUUUCUUUAUUUUUGAUGAUUUUUUUUUUUUU
rnacentral:ribozyme from 1 species